CCUCCUUAAAAAUAAUCGCUUAGGAUAGGCGUUCACACGAAUAACUUGCUUUUACCUAAAUCAUUUCUUUACAGAUUUGAGAUUAAGGAGCGUUCUUUAACAUUUUUAUAAGUUCAAUCAAGUCACAUCAUAGUGUCUUAGUUUUUUAAUUUAGAUAUGAAUGAUGUGCAAAUGUCACCAAACCCGUCAUGUUUUAGAACAUAAGUUUGGUGUACAUACUGCAAAGUAAUUUUGGCGAAUGACAAUAGAUACUUGAAGAACAUUAAUCAUUAAGUUGUUUGAUGUAAUAUGGUCAAGUAAUUAAGCGCAUACGGUGGA
rnacentral:misc_RNA from 1 species